GUCAGAGUUUGAUCCUGGCUCAGAUUGAACGCUGGCGGCAUGCUUUACACAUGCAAGUCGAACGGUAACAGGUCUUCGGAUGCUGACGAGUGGCGAACGGGUGAGUAAUGCAUCGGAACGUGCCCAGUCGUGGGGGAUAACGCAGCGAAAGCUGUGCUAAUACCGCAUACGAUCUAUGGAUGAAAGCGGGGAUCGAAAGCCUCGCGCGAUUGGACGCGGCCGAUGUCAGAUUAGCUAGGUUGGGU
rnacentral:rRNA from 1 species